rnacentral:rRNA from 1 species
UGGGGAAUUUUGGACAAUGGGCGAAAGCCUGAUCCAGCAAUGCCGCGUGUGUGAAGAAGGCCUUCGGGUUGUAAAGCACUUUUGUCCGGAAAGAAAUCCUUGGCUCUAAUACAGUCGGGGGAUGACGGUACCGGAAGAAUAAGCACCGGCUAACUACGUGCCAGCAGCCGCGGUAAUACGUAGGGUGCAAGCGUUAAUCGGAAUUACUGGGCGUAAAGCGUGCGCAGGCGGUUUGCUAAGACCGAUGUGAAAUCCCCGGGCUCAACCCGGGAACUGCAUUGGUGACUGGCAGGCUAGAGUAUGGCAGAGGGGGGUAGAAUUCCACGUGUAGCAGUGAAAUGCGUAGAGAUGUGGAGGAAUACCGAUGGCGAAGGCAGCCCCCUGGGCCAAUACUGACGCUCAUGCACGAAAGCGUGGGGAGCAAACAGGAUUAGAUACCCUGGUAGUCCACGCCCUAAACGAUGUCAACUAGUUGUUGGGGAUUCAUUUCCUUAGUAACGUAGCUAACGCGUGAAGUUGACCGCCUGGGGAGUACGGUCGCAAGAUUAAAACUCAAAUGAAUUGACGGGGUCAUA